rnacentral:lncRNA from 1 species
GGUUCAAGAGCUAGUUUAGUAGAUCUCCCUGGAUGACUACCCUACUCUCUGCUACAGCUGGGCCAUUAUUAAUAAUUUUCUUGGUUUUAGUUUUUGGCCCCUGCGUGACAAACAGGUUGAUUGCUUUUGUUAAAAAUCGAGUGGGUGCUGUGCGGUUGAUGGUUGUGAGACAACAGUACCAGUCAGUUAGGACAACUGGUGAGACCAAAUACGAGACUUGAUAUCAAAAUUCUAAGAUUAGAAUUAUUUAGUAGGAGAAGACGGGAAUGAAAAGAAAAUUAUACAAAUUCUAGGUUUAGAAAUAUAAAAUUAAAAGAGUUAGCCCCAAAAGCCACAAACUCAGGGCUAAGC